AGUCGGCCUGCGCGGAAGAUGUAACGGGGCUAAACCAUGCACCGAAGCUGCGGCAGCGACACUGUGUGUUGUUGGGUAGGGGAGCGUUCUGUAAGCCUGUGAAGGUGUGCUGUGAGGCAUGCUGGAGGUAUCAGAAGUGCGAAUGCUGACAUAAGUAACGAUAAAGCGGGUGAAAAGCCCGCUCGCCGGAAGACCAAGGGUUCCUGUCCAACGUUAAUCGGGGCAGGGUGAGUCGACCCCUAAGGCGAGGCCGAAAGGCGUAGUCGAUGGGAAACAGGUUAAUAUUCCUGUACUUGGUGUUACUGCGAAGGGGGGACGGAGAAGGCUAUGUUGGCCGGGCGACGGUUGUCCCGGUUUAAGCGUGUAGGCUGGUUUUCCAGGCAAAUCCGGAAAAUCAAGGCUGAGGCGUGAUGACGAGGCACUACGGUGCUGAAGCAACAAAUGCCCUGCUUCCAGGAAAAGCCUCUAAGCAUCAGGUAACAUCAAAUCGUACCCCAAACCGACACAGGUGGUCAGGUAGAGAAUACCAAGGCGCUUGAGAGAACUCGGGUGAAGGAACUAGGCAAAAUGGUGCCGUAACUUCGGGAGAAGGCACGCUGAUAUGUAGGUGAAGUCCCUCGCGGAUGGAGCUGAAAUCAGUCGAAGAUACCAGCUGGCUGCAACUGUUUAUUAAAAACACAGCACUGUGCAAACACGAAAGUGGACGUAUACGGUGUGACGCCUGCCCGGUGCCGGAAGGUUAAUUGAUGGGGUCAGCGCAAGCGAAGCUCUUGAUCGAAGCCCCGGUAAACGGCGGCCGUAACUAUAACGGUCCUAAGGUAGCGAAAUUCCUUGUCGGGUAAGUUCCGACCUGCACGAAUGGCGUAAUGAUGGCCAGGCUGUCUCCACCCGAGACUCAGUGAAAUUGAACUCGCUGUGAAGAUGCAGUGUACCCGCGGCAAGACGGAAAGACCCCGUGAACCUUUACUAUAGCUUGACACUGAACAUUGAGCCUUGAUGUGUAGGAUAGGUGGGAGGCUUUGAAGUGUGGACGCCAGUCUGCAUGGAGCCGACCUUGAAAUACCACCCUUUAAUGUUUGAUGUUCUAACGUGGACCCGUGAUCCGGGUUGCGGACAGUGUCUGGUGGGUAGUUUGACUGGGGCGGUCUCCUCCUAAAGAGUAACGGAGGAGCACGAAGGUUGGCUAAUCCUGGUCGGACAUCAGGAGGUUAGUGCAAUGGCAUAAGCCAGCUUGACUGCGAGCGUGACGGCGCGAGCAGGUGCGAAAGCAGGUCAUAGUGAUCCGGUGGUUCUGAAUGGAAGGGCCAUCGCUCAACGGAUAAAAGGUACUCCGGGGAUAACAGGCUGAUACCGCCCAAGAGUUCAUAUCGACGGCGGUGUUUGGCACCUCGAUGUCGGCUCAUCACAUCCUGGGGCUGAAGUAGGUCCCAAGGGUAUGGCUGUUCGCCAUUUAAAGUGGUACGCGAGCUGGGUUUAGAACGUCGUGAGACAGUUCGGUCCCUAUCUGCCGUGGGCGCUGGAGAACUGAGGGGGGCUGCUCCUAGUACGAGAGGACCGGAGUGGACGCAUCACUGGUGUUCGGGUUGUCAUGCCAAUGGCACUGCCCGGUAGCUAAAUGCGGAAGAGAUAAGUGCUGAAAGCAUCUAAGCACGAAACUUGCCCCGAGAUGAGUUCUCCCUGACCCUUUAAGGGUCCUGAAGGAACGUUGAAGACGACGACGUUGAUAGGCCGGGUGUGUAAGCGCAGCGAUGCGUUGAGCUAACCGGUACUAAUGAACCGUGAGGCUUAACCUUACAACGCCGAAGGUGUUU
rnacentral:rRNA from 1 species